rnacentral:rRNA from 1 species
AACGCGAAGAACCUUACCCAGAUUUGACAUACAGAGGACAGUACUAGAAACAGUAUCUCCCUUCGGGGCCUCUGAACAGGUGCUGCAUGGCUGUCGUCAGCUCGUGCCGUGAGGUGUUGGGUUAAGUCCCGCAACGAGCGCAACCCUUAUCACUAGUUGCUACCAAGUUAAGUUGAGCACUUUAGUGAGACUGCCCGGGUUAACCGGGAGGAAGGUGAGGAUGACGUCAAGUCCGCAUGGCCUUUAUAUCUGGGGCUACACACGUACUACAAUGGUCGGUACAGAAGGCAGCGAAACCGCGAGGUGGAGCAAAUCCCAAAAGCCGAUCUCAGUUCAGAUUGUAGUCUGCAACCCGACUACAUGAAGAUGGAAUUGCUAGUAAUGGCAGGUCAGCACACUGCCGUGAAUACGUUCCCGGGCCUUGUACACACCGCAUAC